GCUCCGGUAGUCAGUGGUAGAGCACCUGCAUUUGUGUGAGCAAGGCCUAGCGAUCACUUUCAGCUUGUCGCAGGUUCGAAUCCUGCCCGGUGGC